rnacentral:rRNA from 1 species
UGCAAGUCGAACGAUGAAGCCCUUCGGGGUGGAUUAGUGGCGAACGGGUGAGUAACACGUGGGCAAUCUGCCCUUCACUCUGGGACAAGCCCUGGAAACGGGGUCUAAUACCGGAUAACACUCCUGCCUGCAUGGGCGGGGGUUAAAAGCUCCGGCGGUGAAGGAUGAGCCCGCGGCCUAUCAGCUUGUUGGUGGGGUAAUGGCCUACCAAGGCGACGACGGGUAGCCGGCCUGAGAGGGCGACCGGCCACACUGGGACUGAGACACGGCCCAGACUCCUACGGGAGGCAGCAGUGGGGAAUAUUGCACAAUGGGCGAAAGCCUGAUGCAGCGACGCCGCGUGAGGGAUGACGGCCUUCGGGUUGUAAACCUCUUUCAGCAGGGAAGAAGCGAAAGUGACGGUACCUGCAGAAGAAGCGCCGGCUAACUACGUGCCAGCAGCCGCGGUAAUACGUAGGGCGCAAGCGUUGUCCGGAAUUAUUGGGCGUAAAGAGCUCGUAGGCGGCUUGUCGCGUCGGAUGUGAAAGCCCGGGGCUUAACCCCGGGUCUGCAUUCGAUACGGGCAGGCUAGAGUGUGGUAGGGGAGAUCGGAAUUCCUGGUGUAGCGGUGAAAUGCGCAGAUAUCAGGAGGAACACCGGUGGCGAAGGCGGAUCUCUGGGCCAUUACUGACGCUGAGGAGCGAAAGCGUGGGGAGCGAACAGGAUUAGAUACCCUGGUAGUCCACGCCGUAAACGUUGGGAACUAGGUGUUGGCGACAUUCCACGUCGUCGGUGCCGCAGCUAACGCAUUAAGUUCCCCGCCUGGG